UCGCCCCUUCUGAAGGCGGAUUCGCCGACAAGGUAUUGAUUAACCGACCUCGUGGUGGGGGAUCUCGUCCGUUAAGGAACGCAGAUGAGCCCCGGCAAAGGACACCGGUUCCCACUGUAAACUUUCUCUCCGUUUUCAUUUAAGGGACACGACUCCACGGUAAACAAUGAAGUCUGAACGGUCGAUAAAGGUUGAAAUGGCUGUUCUUCAGUACUUGCUUGUACCUGUUUUUGAGAUGUUUUGGUGUUACGUUACAAUACAAGAUGUGAACCUGCAGCAGAAUGCUUAGAACAUGACCAACGCUGUAUACCAAGCUGGAUAAAAAUCUACGACAUUUGCUUAUCAGAACGGACAAAGACUUAGUGAAGAGAAGAAAGAUCCAGGGAAGACUGUGAUGGGAAUGGUUCAACAUGUUUUCUCCAGAUCUUUGCACUAUAGUAGUUUCCAAGGUGAGGAUCAUUUUGAUGUUACCACCCUUCGAUAAUGGAGAAGCAACACGAAGAAUAAAAAGAAGAUAGUUUUCUCAGUAGAUUAACGAAGUUCUGUUGUCCGACAUCAGGAGUGGGAUCAGCAGUUUUCGGUAAUAUUCGGACAGUGAAACUGAUAAUAAUGUUAACUGUUCGAUAGAUGUAUAUAGGCUCUAGAAAGAAGAAGUGAAAAAAAUGGUCAGUCUUUGCAAAAAUAAUAAAUUUAUGGGAGUCAUGAGGAAUAUUUUGUCACUUAUUUUUUUUUGCUGUUUUGUUGCUAUGCUGUGUUGUAAGGGACGUAGUACUGAAAUUGUGAAAAUGUUCUGCUUCAUGUUCGGGCGAAAAGUUAAGAAUAAAGUUUAUCUAGUCUUUUGAACCUUCAAUUUCAAUGAACUAGAUCCCAAUGUAGCAAAACAAAACUACGAUUCGAAACAUUUUUUUUUUCAUUAAAAUGGAUAGACAAUUUUUUUUUCGGUGACAUUUGAUAUUGGGAGAAAAGUUUAUAAGAAAAUUUAUGAACAUUAUUAGUUGUGUAUACCAAGGAAUGCUUCUCUGUAAUCCUCCUGUAAUCAAAUUUAUAUUGUUAUACGUUCUUUAACUGCCGAAUUAUCUGUUGUUUAAAAA